GGUGUGUGUAUACUGAGUUUGUACUACUUAAUUCUUUGCAAUUUAUUGGUAACUAUUACUAAAGAUUCAGAAGAAAAUUUUUAAAAAAGAUAAAAAAAACAACAAAACAACAACAACCUAUAAGCCAAAUCUACUUUAUUUUCAAGAAUCUCCAGUUAUCACUCACAUAUCCUUGCCAAACUUGUCAUUUCUCUUAGCAACAGUAUACAUGUGUUUAACAAGUAUUUUAACCUGUGAAAGAAAGUCACAGAGCACAUUUCUGAAAUGCAAAGUUAUGUUCAGUUAUCAUGGGGUUGGAUUCAAUGAUAACUUGCUUCCCCUUCUCACAAGGUUAUGAAAGCUAUUCUUGCAGGGCAUGCUCAGUGUUUCAGUGCAGGUGGUUUGAAUGAAUUUUUGUCUUUCCAGUGGAAUCUGGCUUUACUUUAUUGUAGUGUUAUGUCAUUGUGUGUGUGGUACAGUGCACACACAGUUGGUGAAAACUGUUAUUUCUACAGAGAAAAAUUAUUUUGCAAAGAUAAGAUUAGUUUAAUACUUUUUUUAAAAAAAUCAUCCACAUUUUAAAGUUAAAUUGUCAGCUGACAUAGCUUGAAGUAAUUGUUAGAUGGCAACUUGGUAGAGAUACAACAAGAAAUUUCCAAAAUUCUGCUUUCAGUUUUACAUGCACAUAAUGGGUACUGCAAUUUUUAGUGCUGUUUAAAACCCCUUUUAAAACAGGUCUUUCUGGGUUGCCAGAGGUUAGCAGUGGAGAUACAAUCAAAGUAAAAUACUUAUCAGUAUUUUACAGCCACAUUGGCAGUUGUUUCUUUCAUCACUUUGGGAUGUGUAAGGCUGAAUGAUGUGGCAACAUAGCUGGCUUUGGUUGUAUGUCUGCCAGAACUACAAAUCUGUUGCUGUAUGGAAUGUACCUUUUUUUCUAUUUAAUAAGUGAAGGCACAAACAAUACAUGGAGGUUUUCACAUCUCUUCUAUCUCUCAUUCCCAUCUUUGGAUUGCCUGCUAAGUGCUCCAAGUGCAAAUUAACCUCUGAAUUUGAUAUCCAGGAUCCUGCUAUCUCAUUCAUGUCUUUGUAAGGCACAUUAAUACUCAGCAAUAUCAGUCAAAUAUCCUCUUUACUCCCAACAUGUAGUUAACCAAGUGGGUCAGACAGACCUGCAAUGAAAUCACAUUGCCAGUGUCCUCCUUUAAGCUUUCUAUAGCACCUUGUUUUCUCCAAGGCUAUCGUUUAGACAGUGAGUUUCAUAGGGCAAACCUUAUCUUUAUUUAUGGCUUGUUUAGUGCUAAAUGCUAUUUCGGUGUUUAAAAGAUUCAUCAUAAACAUAGUCCAAUGUACUUAUAAAAACAGCUUUGUCUGACCCAGUGCCUUAAUAGUGUUCUUUAACUUCUCUUUAAUCUUUUGGAAGAAACAUUUUAAUAGCCACUGCAGUUUAAUUCAUCAGUUCUUGAACUUUAUUCUGGAGUACUGAUUUCCAAAUAGUGGGUUUGGAUUAGAAUUUGCAAACAAGGUUUGAAAAGCUCAUCUAAAAUUGGGAUUCUUGCCCAGACAUUGGAAAUGGAAGAGGGAAUGCAUAAUUUGCUUUCUGGUAGAGCUCUUGGGUAUAGGUAACCUUUUUGGUUAGAUCUGGAUUAAAAAAAAAAAAAAAAAAAAAAAAAAAGUCUUGAGAACCUCUUCUGUUAGAACCUCUUUAGAUCCACACAACUGGCAAGAAUAAGAAUGCUGAUAUAACUGGGGAUUAAUAUCUUUUAUUUUCCUGUAGGGAUUGGUAGAAGAUAGGGUUAGGGUUUUGGAAAGGAGGGCUAUAUCAAGUCUGAUUUACUGCUGGAUUUGUAAGGGUUUGGGAGAAGGCUGGCAAAGUCAUAAGCAAAUAUUUUAUUUUCAGUAUUCCUGGACACAUUUUCCAUUUAAGGAAGGUUUGGGAUAAGGCUAGGGAACUGGAAAAAAACAUGGCUAUAAUAGCUUUUUGUGGGGUCUUCAGAGGUAGAAGUAUUAUGGUGUAGGCAGGAGCAUAUGCUUCAUAUUAGGUUUUCCAGUACAGUUUCAUCCUCUGUCUACAGUACAUGUUAAUUUUAGGGCUAGGGCUAGAAUCGUGUUUUCAGAAAAGAAGGUAGAAAGCCUUUUUAUUCUUGCAUUCUGCCAGACUGGCAGAGACAGGAUUAAAGUUCGCAUAAUCAGGAACAAAUACUUUAUAUUCAGAUUUACUAUACAGAUUGGUCACUUUGAAUUGAUAAAUUUUAGGCUAAGGUUAAGCCUGGCAUUAUGGCCCAAAAGAGGGAGUAUGUAUCAGCGAAACUCACAGUUCGAUUGCUUAGGACCAACAGAGCUUAGAAAUAAGGUUGGUUGUUAGUGACUCAAUCGGUUUUUCUUCAUGAAUUAGUCACUUGGCUGCAUUUCAGUUUUUGGUUGAAAACAGGAGCAGAGUUAAGAAGAAAAGGCUUCCUGAGCCCAGCUUGUCACUGAGUCUGGAAUGGCUUCAGGGAUGAGGAAGCAGAUGGAGGACUAAAGGAUAAAGAGAAUAGAUGGUCUUUAAAACAUCUUCUUGUGGUCGUCUAAGUGGCAGAAUGAAACUGGAGAUUUAAACUCCUAUGCUUUUCCUUUCUCUACUCUUCUGCCGUUUAUAUAGGUAUGCAUGCCUAUAUAUAAAUACACACAGAUUUAGAUGUCUGUAUUGAAGGGAGAUACAGACUUGAAACAGAUUUAAUUAAACUCUACUGUUCAUUUAUCAGAGUUUUGAGCCUAGAAUACUGGAGACUAAGGAUGAAUGUUUUGAGGAGAAACUAGGAGUUUUCGUGUCUUUCUGCUACCAGUUUCAUAAGUUUCUUUGCUGGUGCAAUCCUAUCAUUGCCACUUUCUUUAAAAAUAAUGUAAUAUCAUUUUGGCCUGAAGUAAGAAAAUUCAUGUGUAUUUAUUUAUGUGGGGUAAUGCUGUGCAUACCGAAAUACAUACGUAAUUACUUUCCUAAACACAUCUACAUUGUGUUAACUGUCAGCAGUUUUUAUGCAGUUCCAAACAGACUGGCCUUUGGUUGCUUCAUUUUGUUAAGGCAGUCUGACAAGAACUUUAGGUGGCCCUUGGGAAGGGUUGCUUCCAAUUUGAACUUCCAGUUUAAGGUAUGAGGUACGUCAAUUUGGCUAUUAUUUAUUUAUAAUAUAAUUUAUACUUAUUUUUUAUCAAGCUCACCUCAAAUUAACAUUCACUUGUGAAAGUAAUUAUAUUAGUAGGUCUUUUCCUCAUUUCCUCUAUUAUUUAGCCUUAAAUUCCUUGAUAAGUAUUAGCAGAGCCGGUAUCAAAAAGUGUGGCUACAUCUGUGCAUUUCAGCACACACAAAAAAACCCAACAACCAACCAACCAACCAACCAACCAACCAGCCAACCAAAACCAACUAUGUAGGUAUUUCUCCCUCUAGAGUCUGCUUUGCAGACAAUAUCUGUCUUCAAAAUACAACAUGUCUAAUGUUUCUUGGUGAAACAUACACAGGAGAAGACUGGCUUUUCAUUGAGAUAUCAAGUGAGAAUCUACACACUAUCCAUAGCAAUAAGGAAACAUGAGCUGCAAGAGAAAUUCUGUUUGUUCCAGCUUCCAUUUCUUCAGGCUGGCAUUCAGUGGUAUAAACCCUCAGUAAGCAUGUACAGCUAUCCUAUAUCCUCUUAAGAUAUACUACUUUGCUGUAUCAUUCACUUCAUAAUAAAAUAAAUGCAGAAAAACUUCACAGAGUGAAUACUGCCAAUUUAUCCUAGAAUGUCUCGGCUUGUACUGGCACAUGGCCUGACCACCACAGCAUCACGGUGUGCUCCCAACUCCUGCACUGCUCUAGUGCUGACUUGCUGUGUGGCCAUAUGCAAAUAAACCAACCAUCCCUCAGCUUGGUGUUCUGUCCUUGUAAGGAUGGCAGUGCUCAUCUCCUGAACUAGAAGAAGGAGACCUUCUCCAAUUGAAUCCAAUCACAACAAGCUACCAAAGCUUUGAUCUCUCAGCUGGGUAUGGGACAGGGUGCUGCCAGCCCAAUUGUGGUGUCCAUGUGAGUAGGGUCCAAGGCAGUAUGGGCACUACAAGAUUUGCUCUGUGAGAAAAUUCCAGCUGAAGCCAGGACUAGGUUCCUUGACUCCAUCAAGCUGUUCCUGAGUGCUUCAUAAGCUAACUGGCACCAGUAAAAUCACUUUUCAUAGCACUGCAAAUGCAUAACAAGGUCCAAAAAUGCAACAGAGAAGUUCACUCUGUGAUUACUGUUAAUGAUUUACCUAGCACAAAGAAGUAGUUUCCACAGAUGCUAGUAUUUAAUGCUACCUUCAAAUAGAUAAGUAUAUCCAAAUUAAUUGUAUCUGUGUCACAACAUUACAAAUAUUAGGAUCCAAUACUUAAUCCAAGCUCUUUUAUGACUUUGCAAAAUGUAAACAUUCCUUUGCCUCAUGUUGUAUACAACUUGGACAUAAGUUUAGUAAUAAAUCAUUUUUCUUAGACAUCUACGAGACUGCAAAUAGAGAAUAGAAAUAAUAACAUCAUUUUGACAAAGAAUAUUUCAACAGGAACAUCAUUUUUGAAGACAGCUAUGAGUCUCAACUGAUUUGUGGCUGGAUUUUCUCAAAAUUUUUUUUGUAAGUUAACAAGA